CACAUCCCCAUUCUCACAUUCCAUGAAUUCUCUAUACUCUCUACUCUUACUAUUAUCUUCAUUAUUUAUCAUCUUCUUCUUCCAUGCCAUUAUUGCAACAAAAAUAUAUGGUGCCAUGCAUCUCUUGUGACGAACUCAAAAGUGGCCAUGUGAUGCUUCUCCUAUUGACACCUGGAUAUCCUUGAGUAGACACAAAAAUUGCUUCUAACCCACUCUUGGCCAUCCUUCAGGAAUAUAAUUAAAGAAAAAUAAAAUUUUAAGCACAACUUAAAAAAAAAAAAGAAAGGUUUGUACUGGAGAGGCGGUGUUGGUGCAUGCUGCAGUGAGAUAGAAGGGAGGUUGAGG
rnacentral:misc_RNA from 1 species